rnacentral:rRNA from 1 species
UCGCUAGUAAUCGCGGAUCAGAAUGCCGCGGUGAAUACGUUCCCGGGUCUUGUACACACCGCCCGUCACACCAUGGGAGUCGGAAAUGCCCGAAGUCUGUGACCCAACCUUAGGGAGGGAGCAGCCGAAGGCAGGUCGGAUGACUGGGGUGAAGUCGUAACAAGGUAUC